UUUCGAUGGUAGUGUAUUGGACUACCAUGGCAGUCACGGGUAACGGAGAAUUAGGGUUCGGUUCCGGAGAGGGAGCCUGAGAAACGGCUACCACAUCUAAGGAAGGCAGCAGGCGCGUAAAUUACCCAAUCCUGAUUCAGGGAGGUAGUGACAAGAAAUAACAACCUGGGGGCCUCACGGCCUUACGGGAUUGUAAUGAGAACAAUUUAAACGACUUAACGAGGAACAAUUGGAGGGCAAGUCUGGUGCCAGCAGCCGCGGUAAUUCCAGCUCCAAUAGCGUAUAUUAAAGUUGUUGCAGUUAAAAAGCUCGUAGUUGAACUUCUGCAUGUGCCCAGUUCUGGCUUCGGUCAAGCUGUGGUGUAUGCAUCCGCUUGCAAAGCUAGACCGGUCUUCAUUGAUCGACUAGUGGAGUAGGCUCUUUACCUUGAAAAAAUUAGAGUGUUUCAGGCAGGCAAUGGCUCGAAUACAUUAGCAUGGAAUAAUGGAAUAGGACUUUUGUCCAUUUGGUUGGUUAUUGGACAUAAGUAAUGAUUAAAAGGGACAGUUGGGGGCAUUAGUAUUUAAUUGUCAGAGGUGAAAUUCUUGGAUUUAUUAAAGACUAACUUAUGCGAAAGCAUUUGCCAAGGAUGUUUUCAUUAAUCAAGAACGAAAGUUAGGGGAUCAAAGACGAUCAGAUACCGUC
rnacentral:rRNA from 1 species